UCUAAACCCAAAAAAAGCACUCUACUGACAAAUUAGUAACUUGUCGCUAUUCAUAUAUUGUUUGGUUUGUUUGUCAAUUUGAUACUGAAUACCCAUAGAGGUGUGCAACAAUUUCUACAGAUACAUUUAAAAAAAAAAAAAAUAUAUAUAAAUUGAGAUGAACUACAGAAUUACACACACAUCUACAGAAACUGGCCAUUCGUCUUGAAUCAAAUCGACAGUAACUGUGACAGGCACCGUCUAAAUAAAUCAAUAUUUCAGCCUUU